AGUGAACGCUUUCUUUCUUCCUAACACAUGCAAGUCGAACGGCAGCACAGUAAGAGCUUGCUCUUACGGGUGGCGAGUGGCGGACGGGUGAGGAAUACAUCGGAAUCUACUUUUUCGUGGGGGAUAACGUAGGGAAACUUACGCUAAUACCGCAUACGACCUACGGGUGAAAGCAGGGGAUCUUCGGACCUUGCGCGAUUGAAUGAGCCGAUGUCGGAUUAGCUAGUUGGCGGGGUAAAGGCCCACCAAGGCGACGAUCCGUAGCUGGUCUGAGAGGAUGAUAAGCCACACUGGAACUGAGACACGGUCCAGACUCCUACGGGAGGCAGCAGUGGGGAAUAUUGGACAAUGGGCGCAAGCCUGAUCCAGCCAUACCGCGUGGGUGAAGAAGGCCUUCGGGUUGUAAAGCACUUUUGUUGGGAAAGAAAAGCAGCAGGUUAAUACCCCGCUGUUCUGACGGUACCCAAAGAAUAAGCACAGGCUAACUUCGUG
rnacentral:rRNA from 1 species